AACGCACAUUGCGCCCCUUGGUAUUCCAUGGGGCAUGCCUGUUCGAGCGUCAUGUACACCCUCAAGCUUUGCUUGGUGUUGGGCGUCUGUCCUCCGGGACUCGCCUCAAAGGUAUUGGCAGCGGUCCUGUCGGGCCUCCUAAUCGCGCAGCACUGUUCGCGCCUCUUGGAGCCUGUACGGGAAUUCAGCUACUCCAUCAAGCCCUUCCAUCUUCAGCUUGACCUCGAAUCAGGUAGGGAUACCCGCUGAACUUAA
rnacentral:misc_RNA from 1 species